rnacentral:rRNA from 1 species
GUAGGGUGCAAGCGUUAUCCGGAUUUAUUGGGCGUAAAGGGUUCGUAGGCUUUCCGAUAAGUUGCAUUUCAAAUACCAGAGCUCAACUUUGGCACGGGGUGUAAUACUGUCGGAAUUGGAAGGUUUCGGGGCUACUGGAACUUAUCAUGUAGGGGUGAUAUCCGUUGAUAUGAUAAAGAACACCGAGGGCGAAGGCAGGUAGCUAGGAACACUUUGACGCUGAGGGACGAAAGCUAGGGUAGCAAAAGGGAUUAGAGACCCCUGUAGUCCUAGCCGUAAACGAUGCUCGCUAGGGAUGGGAAGCUUUGCUUUCCCGUCUCGUAAGCUAACGCGUUAAGCGAGCCGCCUGGGGAGUACGAGCGCAAGCUUA